rnacentral:rRNA from 1 species
CCUACGGGUGGCUGCAGUGGGGAAUAUUGGACAAUGGGGGCAACCCUGAUCCAGCCAUGCCGCGUGUGUGAAGAAGGCCAUCGGGUUGUAAAGCACUUUCAGUGAGGAAGAACGCCUGGUGGUUAAUACCCAUCAGGAAAGACAUCACUCACAGAAGAAGCACCGGCUAACUCCGUGCCAGCAGCCGCGGUAAUACGGAGGGUGCGAGCGUUAAUCGGAAUUACUGGGCGUAAAGCGCGCGUAGGUGGCUUGAUAAGCCGGUUGUGAAAGCCCCGGGCUCAACCUGGGAACGGCAUCCGGAACUGUCAAGCUAGAGUGCAGGAGAGGAAGGUAGAAUUCCCGGUGUAGCGGUGAAAUGCGUAGAGAUCGGGAGGAAUACCAGUGGCGAAGGCGGCCUUCUGGACUGACACUGACACUGAGGUGCGAAAGCGUGGGUAGCAAACAGGAUUAGAUACCCGGGUAGUC